AUGGCGGAGGCUAAGGACAGGCGGCGGCGGCGGUGGCUGCGCGGCGCUGGAGCGGCGGCGGGGGCCUUGGGGCGGUCCGAGGACGCGGUGAAGAGGAGACGGAAGGCUGGCUAUGGGCGGCCGGCCGGGAUGGGGGACGAGCGCCGGGUUCCCGGCGGCGGCGUCAGGCCCGCCCCGGCCAAUCAGCACCGCCCGCCCCGCGCCCGCUCCUUCCGGUGGGCGCGGGGCCCCGCCCCUGCGGUGGGGGAGGGGCGGCCGCUGGAGGCCCUCGCGCGCCCUGGCGGAGCUCGGGAGCGGGGACCGAUUGAGAAGGUGGAAGGUGGAGACGCGGGCCUUAGGUGGUCGAGCGCACUUUCUCUUCCUCAAGAGUCCAGGAAGGAGCGCGAUGGAGAAGUGGGCUCACGGCGGGUUUCGGGUCCGCCCCUGCCCUUCUGAUUCCGGCGACCACGUCUGCCUUUGGCUGAAAGCAAAUAUGGCUCCGAGUGCAGUUUCUACAACAAAGGCUGGGCGGGCCGGGUUUCCCUAGGGAUGGGGACCGCCUCCCCCGGGGGUCUUGGGAGUGAGCCACCGGGGCUUCCGAGAGAAUCGCUGGAGUCGCUUCGCACCCACGGGACACAUCUCAGGUUAGAAAGGAGAAGCAACGUGGAUCUAAAGGCGAAGCCCAUGCUGAGGCCUUUUCAAAAUGGCCUCUUACCAGUCACACUCACAGGAGCUUCAGGCUUCGGCGGCCCUGUAGAACAACCCCAGGGUGUCAUUGGAGAAAAGCUGACGGGGUUGAUGGCGGGUGACAGGUGAAAGAGACCCCGGAUGGGCGGGGCCGGUGUGUGUGGCUUGCAGUUGAGUCCCAGGCACAGGGUGGAUGUGAAUUUAUGGGUGGCAGAGCUGGAGCUAGGCCCUGCCCCUACGUAGGUCCUGGCUUCGAGGUCCACUGUUGUGUUGCAUCUUUUGACGCAUCGGUGGAAGAACUAUUAAUUUCAGGAUGCUCACAAACCUGCAGCUGGAAGCUAGACUUCCAAACCUUAUUUUAAAAAAACAACUCUACUGAAAUAUUAAAAACAAAUUGCCGAC